CCCUGUCUUGCGUUCCUGUGUUUUCUAAUGCACGCCCGAGGUCAAAGAGACUUUGAUUUGGCAGAUGCCCUUGAUGACCCUGAACCCACCAAGAAGCCAAACUCAGGUGAGUGUCUCUUCAGCUGGGAAAAACUGAGGCAACGUCCUUGAACUGAUGCUUACGGAGGGGAUGGUUGAGGAUGUUUUACAGAACUGUGGGGUAUAUGAAAGAGAUGCAACAACUGUACCAGAUAGCAGAUAUUGAAAGCAAAAUGUGGUGAUUAGGGAAAUGCAAAUCACAACCACAGUGAAGCACCACUUCGUCCCCACUGAGAUGGCUAAAAUCUAAAAUGGAAAAUAACAAGUGUUGGCAAGGAUGUGAUG
ensembl:lncRNA XGY2 XG Y-linked 2 (pseudogene)